GGUUCCAUAGUGUAGCGGUUAGCACGUCUGCUUUACACGCAGAAGGUCCUGGGUUCAUGCCCCAGAGGUGCCA
rfam:Pteropus alecto contig54913, whole genome shotgun sequence.